UCCUUUCUCUUUCUGUCCUUGCUUUUCCUUGUGCUGUCUCCCUUCGUACGACACGAGCACGUGUGCUCGGUGUGCAUCCCCACAGGGUAGGUCUCGGGGGGCCAUGAUGAAGUAGGAGGGGACGAAAAUUGUGCAAGGUAGCGGGCGCGGGAGUGGAGGGGUGACUGUCAGUGUUAACUUGGUCUCUGUUCAUCAAGUUUGGCAGAUGUAGAUGGGCUGGAAGAGGGAGGCAGGGAUGAGGGCAAGAUUUCAAGCAUCAGUAGAGAUGUGUGUAGUGAUGGCUCAUGCUUGGCUUUUGCAAAUCCAUUUCCAGAGGAAUUUCCCAGGAGCCGUAGCCGGAGAAGAGGUUGGCAGAUGUGGACAUGAGGAAACUGAACAUCCUUCUGAGCAGACACGAACAGUCCUCGGCUUUCUGCUUCCCACAUAACUGGCUUUUGCAGAGGAAUCAUCCAGGAGCCCUCACCGAACGAGAAUAUGCAGAAGUGGAUGUGAGCAGCCUGGACAUCCUUCUAAGGAGACCUCAACAGUCCUCAGGUUUCUGCCUUCUGCCUAACUGGCUUAGCAAGAGAAAAGAAGUCACAGGCCAGAGUCUACUGCCCUCGUGCAAUGGAAAGAGAGCAAGAGCGAUGAGUCUGCAAGCGUUGUUGAUGCGACGCAGAAGGCGUCCAUCUGGGAGCGGAACCGCCACCACUCUCAAUGAGAUAAGUGUCUUCUUUGGUGAUCGCUCUGCUCAAGGCCCAUCUUGCUCCCGGUAGGGACGCCCCGUUAGCUGGGGCUGGGUUUGUAAGAAAAGGUUCCUGACUAGUUGUGGUUACAAGGGAGACGAUGUCCCCAUUUUCAGGGGCUGCUCAUGUCUCUGGCCAGGACCAGUGUGUCCUCCGCAGCAUAUUAGAUUCAGGGGGAUGACUCCAGCUGGUGAGUUUCUUGACUCCCUCCCACGUUUUUCUCUCUCUCUCCUCUAAUGUGUUGGCCAACACACACUCUCUGUCUCUCACUCUCUCUGUCCUUGCCUCUUCUUGUGCUGCCUUCCUUCGUAGGACACGGGCAGGUGUGUUAGGUAUGCAUCCCCACAGGCUAGGUCUUGUGAGCUAUGAACAAGUAGGGGACCAAAAUGAUGCAGGUCAGUGGGCGCUAGAGUGAAGCGGUGACUGUGGGUGUUGACUGAGUCUCUGCUCUAGCGGGGCUGAUGUGGGAGGCAGGGAUGAGGGCAAGAUUUCACGCACCAAUUGAAUUUUUUGUAGUGAGGGCUCUUGCUUGGCUUAUUUGCUGCACUUGUAGAGGAAUUGUCCAGGAGCAGCAGCCAGAGGAGAAAUUGGCAGACGUGGGCCUGAGGAGCCUGGACAUUCUUCUAAGGAGACAUGAACAGUCCUCAGCUUUCUGCCUCGUGCAUAACUGGCUGUGGUACCAAGGGAAAAGAAGUGACAAGUCAGAGUCUACUGCCCCCAUACGAUGGAAAGUGAGCGAGAGUGAUGGGACUGCGAGAAUUAUUGAUGCCUUGAAAAAGCCGUCCAACUGGGAAUGGAACAGUCAUCGCUGUCAAUGAGAUAAGUGUCUGUUUUGGUGAUUGCUCUGCUCACGGCCCACCUUGCUCCUGAAAGGGAUGCCCCGUUUGCUGAGGCUGUGUUUGUAAGAAAAGGUUCCUGCCUAGCUGUGGUUUUGAGAGAGAGAGAAGAUUCCCAUUUUUAGGGGCUGCUCAGUUUUCUGGCCAGGAGCAGUGUGUCCUACGCAGCAGAAGGUUGCAUCUAGGAGAAUGAGUCCAAGUGGUGAAUUGCUUGCCUUUCCCUCGUGUUUCUCUCUCUCUUUCUCUCCUCUAGUGUGUUGGCCAACACUCUUUCUCAAUCUGUCCUUGCUUUUCCUUGUGCUGUCUCCCUUCUUAGGAUAUCAGCAGGCGAGCUAGGUGUGCACCCCCACAGGUUGUGUCUUGGGAGCCAUAAAGAAGUAGGAGGGGACGAAAAUCAUGCGGGGCAGUCGGUGCGAGACUGGAGCGAUGACUGUUGGUGUUGUGGGGCUAAGACAGAUCGAAAGUGACGCAGGGAAGAGGGGCUUAAUUGGGCUCUAUGUAGUGCAGAAGUUCUCAAACUGGGGUUUAGGUCCCGUCAGGGGGCCGCAAGAUUGUUAUUUGGGGGGUUGUGAAAUGUCACCCUCCAUACUAAACAUCACUUUGCUUCCAGCAUUUAUAAUGGUGUUGAAUAUACAAAAAGUGUUUUUAAUUUAUAAGAGGAGGGUCACACUCAGAAGCUUUCUAUGUAAAAGGGAUCAUCAGUACAAAAGGUUGAGAACCACUGGUGUAGUGAUAGUUCUUGCUUGCCUUUAUUAGUUUGCAGCGGAAUUGUGCAGGAGUCUCAGCUGGAGAAGAAGCUGUCAGAAGUGGACCUGAACUGCCUGGACAUCCUUCUAAGGAGACAUGAACAGUCCUCAGCUUUCUGCAUUCUGGAUAACUGGCUAUGAGUAAGAACAGUCACACAUCAGAGUCUACUGUCCUCAUGCGAUGGAAAGUGAGUGAGAGCAGCGAGCCUGUGAGCAUUGUUCAUGCCAGGCAACAGCCGUCAAUGUGGGGGUCGAGCAGACGCCACUUUUGCAGAGGAAUCGUCCAGGAGCCCCAGCCGGAUGAGAAUGUCAGAAAUGGACCUGAGCAGCCUGGACAUCCUUCUAAGGAAACAAGAAUAGUCCUCCAGUUUCUGCCUUCUGCAUAACUGGCUUACCAAGGAAAAAGACAUCACAUGUCAAAGUCUACUGCCCUUAUGAGUGAGAGUGACGAGACUGCGAGCGUUGUUGGUGCCAGGCAGGAGCCGUCCAUCUGGGAGCAGAACAGCUGCUACUAUCACUGAGAUAAGUAUCUGUUUUGCUGAGGGUUCUGCUCACGGCCCACCUGGCUACAGGUAGAGACACCCCGUUAGGUGGAGUGGGUUUGUAAGAAAAGGUUCCUGACUAGUUGUGGUUUUGAGGGAGACACGGUCCCCAUUUUCAGGGGCUGAUUUCUCUGGCCAGGAUCGGUGUGUCCUCGGCAGGAGAAGGUUAGAUCCAUGAGGGAUGACUCCAGGUGAGGAAUUGUCCAGGAGCAGCAGCUGAAGGAGAAAGUGGCAGACGCGGACCUGAGGAGCCUGGACAUCCUUCUAAGCAGACAUGAAAGGUCCUCAGAUUUCUGCCUCCCGCACAACUGGCUGUGAGUAAGCUGUCAGUGCUUGGAAUCCCUCAUCUGUACUGGCUCCGGUUUUGUUCAGAGGCUCUGAAUUUCUUCAUUGGACAUGGUGCUCUGUGGGAUUCAGACGAAGCAAAGGCACAAGUCUUCUGUGCAAAUGCUGGGUUUAGUACCAACUGCAGAGUCAGAGUCCACUCCGCACAUGCCAUGGAAAGGGAGGGAGAGCUGGGAGAUUCUAAGCAUUGUUGAUGCCAGGGAAGAGCCAUCCAGCUGGGAGUGGAGCAAGGACCACUGUCAGUGAGAUAAGUGUCUUGUUAGGUGAAGGCUCUGCUGUGGUUACAAGGGAGACAAGGUCCCUAUUUUCAGGGGCUGCUCAGUCCUCUGGCCAGUACAGGUGUGUCCUCUGCAGCGGAAGGUUGGAUCCAGGAGGAUGACUCCAGGUGACAAGUUGCUUGCCUGCCUUCCUCCCAUGUUUCUCAUUUUCUCUCUCUGUCUCUUUAGUGUGUUGGCCAACACUCUCUCUUAAUCUGUCCUGUCCUUUCCUUGUGCCAUCUCCCUUCUUAGGACACAGGCAGGCCUGUGAGGUGUGCAUCUCCACAGGUUAGGUCUUGAAAGCCCUGGAGUAGUAGGAGGGGACGAAAACCAUGCGGGGUAGUGGGUGCGAGAGUGGAGCAGUGACUGUCAGUGUUGAAUCGAUCUCUGUUCAAGUGGGGCUGAUGUAGAUGGGUGGAAGAGGGAGGCAGGAUUGAGGGCAACAUUUCAAGCACCAUUAGAACUGUGUGUAGAGAUGGCGCAUGCUUGGCUUUUGCAGCUGCAUUUCCAGAGGAAUUGUCCAGGAGCUUGAGCCGGAGGAGAAACUGGCAGAGGUGGAUCUGAGCAGCUUGGACAUGGUUCUAACCAGACAGGAACAGUCCUCAGCUUUCUGCCUUCUGAACACCUGGCUGUGAGUAAGUGUACCAAGGAAAAAUAAGUCACAUGUCAGAGUCUACUGCCAUCAUGCAAUGGAAAGUGAGUGAGAGCAGCGAGCCUCUGAGCAUUGUUCAUGCCAGGCAAGAGCCGUUCAUUUGGGAGCCAAGCAGAUGCCACUGUCAGUGAGAUAAGUGUCUGUUUUGCUGAGGGUUCUGUUAUCAGCCAAUCUGACUCCAGGAGAAGGUUGGAUCCAGGAGGAUGACUCCAGAUGGUGAGUUACUUGCCUUUCUCCUGUGUUUCUCUCUCUCUCUCUCUCUCUCUUCUCUAGUGUGUUGGCCAACACUCUUUUUCUCUCUCUCUCUGUCUCUGUCCUUGCCUCUCCUUGUGCCGUCUCCCUUCAUAGAACAGGGGCAGGAGUGCUAGGUGUGCAUCCCCACAGGCUUGGUCUCGGGAGCUAUGAACAAGUAGGAGGGGAUGAAAAUCAUGCAGGAUAGUGGGCGCCAGAGUGAGGCAGUGUCUGUGGAUGUUGACUCAGUCUCUGUUCAUUGAGUCUGGCGGAUAUAGAUGGAAUGGGAGAGGGAGGCAGGGAUGAGGACAUUCAUAGAGCUCUGUGUAAUGAUGG